UAUGAGAGUUUGAUCCUGGCUCAGGACGAACGCUGGCGGCGUGCCUAAUACAUGCAAGUCGAACGCUUCUUUUUCCACCGGAGCUUGCUCCACCGGAAAAAGAGGAGUGGCGAACGGGUGAGUAACACGUGGGUAACCUGCCCAUCAGAAGGGGAUAACACUUGGAAACAGGUGCUAAUACCGUAUAACAAUCGAAACCGCAUGGUUUUGAUUUGAAAGGCGCUUUCGGGUGUCGCUGAUGGAUGGACCCGCGGUGCAUUAGCUAGUUGGUGAGGUAACGGCUCACCAAGGCCACGAUGCAUAGCCGACCUGAGAGGGUGAUCGGCCACAUUGGGACUGAGACACGGCCCAAACUCCUACGGGAGGCAGCAGUAGGGAAUCUUCGGCAAUGGACGAAAGUCUGACCGAGCAACGCCGCGUGAGUGAAGAAGGUUUUCGGAUCGUAAAACUCUGUUGUUAGAGAAGAACAAGGAUGAGAGUAACUGUUCAUCCCUUGACGGUAUCUAACCAGAAAGCCACGGCUAACUACGUGCCAGCAGCCGCGGUAAUACGUAGGUGGCAAGCGUUGUCCGGAUUUAUUGGGCGUAAAGCGAGCGCAGGCGGUUUCUUAAGUCUGUAUUAUUUGAUGACGGCAGAAGGCGGUACAGGAAGAGGAAACUGGGAGACUUGAGUGCAGAAGAGGAGAGUGGAAUUCCAUGUGUAGCGGUGAAAUGCGUAGAUAUAUGGAGGAACACCAGUGGCGAAGGCGGCUCUCUGGUCUGUAACUGACGCUGAGGCUCGAAAGCGUGGGGAGCAAACAGGAUUAGAUACCCUGGUAGUCCACGCCGUAAACGAUGAGUGCUAAGUGUUGGAGGGUUUCCGCCCUUCAGUGCUGCAGCUAACGCAUUAAGCACUCCGCCUGGGGAGUACGACCGCAAGGUUGAAACUCAAAGGAAUUGACGGGGGCCCGCACAAGCGGUGGAGCAUGUGGUUUAAUUCGAAGCAACGCGAAGAACCUUACCAGGUCUUGACAUCCUUUGACCACUCUAGAGAUAGAGCUUCCCCUUCGGGGGCAAAGUGACAGGUGGUGCAUGGUUGUCGUCAGCUCGUGUCGUGAGAUGUUGGGUUAAGUCCCGCAACGAGCGCAACCCUUAUUGUUAGUUGCCAUCAUUCAGUUGGGCACUCUAGCAAGACUGCCGGUGACAAACCGGAGGAAGGUGGGGAUGACGUCAAAUCAUCAUGCCCCUUAUGACCUGGGCUACACACGUGCUACAAUGGGAAGUACAACGAGUCGCGAAGUCGCGAGGCUAAGCUAAUCUCUUAAAGCUUCUCUCAGUUCGGAUUGCAGGCUGCAACUCGCCUGCAUGAAGCCGGAAUCGCUAGUAAUCGCGGAUCAGCACGCCGCGGUGAAUACGUUCCCGGGCCUUGUACACACCGCCCGUCACACCACGAGAGUUUGUAACACCCGAAGUCGGUGAGGUAACCUUUUGGAGCCAGCCGCCUAAGGUGGGAUAGAUGAUUGGGGUGAAGUCGUAACAAGGUAGCCGUAUCGGAAGGUGCGGCUGGAUCACCUCCUUU
rnacentral:rRNA from 1 species